GCUCGAAAAUGUUAAAGUUCUUAUUUCAUGGUAUAACUUUGGUAUGCUUGGACCUAGAGUCUUCAAACUUGACAUGAAGGUUGGCCAGGAUUAACAGAUGACCACUGGUCAUUUCAAGGUCAUUCAUUUGAAGGUCAAGGUCACUGUGACCUUCAAUAUAAAAAUGUUAAAGUUUUUAUAACUUUGGUAUGCUUGGACCUAGAGUCUUGAAACUUGACAUGAAGGUUGGCCAGAACUAGUAAGUAACCACUGGACAUUUCAAGGUCAUUCAUUUGAAGGUCAAGGUCACUGUGACCUUGAAUGUAAAAAUGUUAAAGUUGUUAUAACUUUGGUAUGCUUGGACCUAGAGUCUUGAAACUUGACAUGAAGGUUGGCCAGAACUAGUAAGUAACCACUGGACAUUUCAAAGUCAUUCAUUUGAAGGUCAAGGUCACUGUGACCUUGAAUGUAAAAAUGUUAAAGUUCUUAUUUCAUGUUAUAACUUUGGUAUGCUUGUACCUAGAGUCUUCAAACUUGAAAUAAAGAUUGGCCAGUACUAGAAGAUGACCACUGGUCAUUUCAAUGUCAUUCAUUUGAAGGUCAAGGUCACUGUGACCUUAAAUGUUAAAAUGUUAAAAUUGUUAUAACUUUGGUAUGCUUGGACAUAGAGUCUUCAAACUUGACAUGAAGGUUUGCAAGCACACUUAGAUGACCACUGGUCAUUUCAAGGUCAUUCAUUCUAAGGUCAAGGUCACUGUGACCUUGAAUGUAAAAAUGUUAAAGUUCUUAUAACUUUGGUAGGUAAAAAUGUUAAAGUUCUUAUUCCAUGUUAUAACUUUGGUAUGCUUGUACCUAGAGUCUUCAAACUUGACAUAAAGGUUGGCCAGUACUAGAAGAUCACCACUGCUCAUUUCAAUGUCAUUCAUUUGAUUUCUGUGUAGGUAUGUGAAAGCAAAACAAUAAAUAGUAUUAUUUCAUCUAAGUUUAUUUUCUUACAUUUGAUAAUGAAAUUGAUGGAAACUUCAAACAAUAUCUUACUAAUUUGCUAAUAAAAAAAUUGAGAUCAAACUUU